rnacentral:rRNA from 1 species
CAAAGGAAUAGACGGGGACCCGCACAAGCAGCGGAGCAUGUGGUUUAAUUCGAAGAUACGCGAAGAACCUUACCAAGGCUUGACAUCGUAUGCAAUCCAUAGAGAUAUGGAGUUCCUUCGGGACAUACAGACAGGUGGUGCAUGGUUGUCGUCAGCUCGUGUCGUGAGAUGUUGGGUUAAGUCCCGCAACGAGCGCAACCCUUAUCGAUAGUUGCCAAUAUUAAGUUAGGAACUCUAUUGAGACUGCCGUGGAUAACACGGAGGAAGGUGGGGAUGACGUCAAAUCAUCAUG